UGGUACGAGAGGAGCAAAACAUGCCGUCUCCGUUUGACCGCUCUCUUCAUCCGACUCAAAGGUUUUUUUUGUUUUGUUUUUUUCUUCUCCUUUUUAUUUAAUUCAUGUGAGGUUUGUCUGCUCACAUCUGUACAGCGGCGAGUAGAGGACAUCACAGAGACGCGGAUGCCAUCACUUGACUCACCAGACUAUUAAUACCCGGGCAAAGAAACAUCACAAGCUCCUCACAAGACUGUGGGGCUGACAUCUGAGCAGAGCGUUUCCCUAAAAACAUGAAGUCUGAGUUGGAGAUAUCCCUAGAUAAUGAAGUGUUGGAUUCGCUCAGCAUGGAAACUCCCCAAACUCCCGCAGCCUGCCAAGGAGAAACUGAAGUGUCUUUAAGUAAUCUGGACAAGGCUGUGCUGAAUAUUUGCUGCGAGGGCUGGCAUCAGCAGCAGGAGUCCCCAGCGACCGGUGAUAGGAUAGCCAAGAGACUGACCCGAGAGACUGACCCGAGAGGACCCAAGAGACUCUAGGUGAGAGACUGAGCGUGUAGCAUCUAGCACUGUUAUUAGUAUGGGGGGGCGCUCAUGUUAAAUAAUAAA
rnacentral:lncRNA from 1 species